rnacentral:rRNA from 1 species
AGAGUUUGAUCAUGGCUCAGAUUGAACGCUGGCGGCAGGCCUAACACAUGCAAGUCGAGCGGAUGAGGGGUGCUUGCACCCCGAUUCAGCGGCGGACGGGUGAGUAAUGCCUAGGAAUCUGCCCGAUAGUGGGGGACAACGUUUCGAAAGGAACGCUAAUACCGCAUACGUCCUACGGGAGAAAGUGGGGGCUCUUCGGACCUCACGCUAUCGGAUGAGCCUAGGUCGGAUUAGCUAGUUGGUGGGGUAAAGGCCCACCAAGGCGACGAUCCGUAACUGGUCUGAGAGGAUGAUCAGUCACACUGGAACUGAGACACGGUCCAGACUCCUACGGGAGGCAGCAGUGGGGAAUAUUGGACAAUGGGCGAAAGCCUGAUCCAGCCAUGCCGCGUGUGUGAAGAAGGUCUUCGGAUUGUAAAGCACUUUAAGUCGGGAGGAAGGGCUGUAGGUUAAUACCCUGCGGUUUUGACGUUACCGACAGAAUAAGCACCGGCUAACUUCGUGCCAGCAGCCGCGGUAAUACGAAGGGUGCAAGCGUUAAUCGGAAUUACUGGGCGUAAAGCGCGCGUAGGUGGUUUGGUAAGUUGGAUGUGAAAGCCCCGGGCUCAACCUGGGAACUGCAUCCAAAACUGCCUGACUAGAGUACGGUAGAGGGUGGUGGAAUUUCCUGUGUAGCGGUGAAAUGCGUAGAUAUAGGAAGGAACACCAGUGGCGAAGGCGACCACCUGGACUGAUACUGACACUGAGGUGCGAAAGCGUGGGGAGCAAACAGGAUUAGAUACCCUGAUAGUCCACGCCGUAAACGAUGUCGACUAGCCGUUGGGCUCCUUGAGAGCUUAGUGGCGCAGCUAACGCAUUAAGUCGACCGCCUGGGGAGUACGGCCGCAAGGUUAAAACUCAAAGGAAUUGACGG